ensembl:lncRNA
UGAACAUCAACAAAAAAGAUAAAGAACUGAUAAUUACUAAAGUUGUGGUGAGGAAGUGACGACUGACAAAUAACAGGAAGUACAAACAGUCUUAAAGAGUCAACAGCUCAGAGACUGUGACAGUCGAGAUCGAGAACAAGAAAGAAGUGAGACAGAGAAGCACGAUGGAUGAAUUCAGAUGGAUUCAAAUGUUUUUAUGUCUGAUGAUUCAGAUUGCAGUAUCUGUAAAUGAAACAUCCAUGUUUAUGAAAGUUGGAGAUGACGUCACUCUGCUUUGUGUAAAUGUGAUAGAUGAGCAGAAUAACUGUGAUGGUACUACGUGGACCUUUACUUCAAGACACAAACCAACAACAGUAGAGCUGAUCACACUUGGACAGAUUGGUGAAGAAGCCAAAACUAAAUCAGACAGACUGAGUGUUACAGCGAACUGUUCUCUGCUUAUAAAGAAGUUCACAGUUGAGGAUGUUGGUUUUUAUUACUGUCAACAAUACAAAGUCGAGGAAACACCAUCUAAUCACACUCUGGUUCAUCAGUCUCAGGUUCAUCUCUCUGUUAUUACCUUGACUGAACAUAAGGACACUGAUAAGGUGACGUUAAGCUGCUCUGUGGUGACAUAUGCAGAGUGUCAUCACACAGUGAAGUGGCUGCUUAAAGGUCAAGCUGUGGACAAAGAGAACAAAGAAACAGUGACUUCACAGACUGACUGCUCCACCACUGUAUCUAUUCUGAAGUAUGAGUAUUUAUACUCAUCACGUCAUAAAAUACUGAAGUGUGAAGUGACUGAUACUAAAACAGGAAAAGUGCAGCUGUUUACCUUCAGCCAUCAGACCUCAGGUGAGGAAACAGAUGAUACAACAGCAAAAACUGUGGAAAAUGAAAGCACGACACCAAACAACAAAUCAUCUGCAAAUUCACAACAUGGUGUCCUGUGGUUCAUCAUUCCAGCUGUGGGUUUGGUCUCACUCUUGAUAGUUGUUGUGUUUUUCAUCAGAGGGAAGAGAACUAGAGGAAACAAAACACAGAUGGAUGAAGAUGCUGGACUGUGUUUAAUCCCUGCAGACACUCGGUCUGCUCCUCAAACCAGUCAGGACUCGAUUCGGGGUGAUGAUGACAAUGAUGUGACCUACUGCACUGUGAAGGCUCCUUUGUCUUCUGCUGCAGCCACUGCUGAUCCCGACAACCUCUACUCUACUGUCACCUUUCCAAUCACAUAGCACAAGCAGCUCACAAAAGGACUUGUAUAUAAUGGAAAAUCCUUUUUUUCAAUUUCACAUGGAGCAGCAUGGUAGCAACAUGCUAAUUAGCUGUUUUUUUAAAACCCAUAUAUAAAUAUAUGUCUACUUUUUUAAUGAAAAUAUAAUUGGUGCCUGGAAUACUUUACGUAAGUUAUGAGCUGUAGCAGAUGCUCCAAAAGAAGGCUGGCUAGAUAGAAAAUAUACAACCAUUACAUCAAACACUGGCAUUCCUGGCAGCUGGACUGCUACAUGACCCACAGCGUUCAAAGUCACGGUCCAAGGGCUUUGUGUUGCAUUUGAGUUUUGAAUCCCUGUCUCUGUCAUUCUAGUAAUGCUGAGCUUUAGUUUUUGUUGUAUUAUUUGAGUGCUUUACUUCCUCGUUCCUGCAUUUAAUUUUCUUGAAUUCUUGGCUUUUAUUUAGUGUUGGUGCCUAUUUUGAGAAUUUCUUCUUGUGUUUCUAGUUCCCUCGUGUUCCCUCUGUCUCAUCUAUGUGUUUGUAUCCUCUGUAAUCAUGUUUAGCCCUGUCUUUUCUUUUUUUCCUGUUUUAGUUAGUUAGUUAGCUUUCCUUUAGUCGUCCUAUUUAGCCAAAUAAAAUAACUCUCUUUGCUGUUUUUCCUGCAUUUGUGUCCUGUUCACAUCGACUCUAUGACAUUCACUUGUCAGUAUUCCUUUCAUUAAAUUUAAUAUGUAAUAUAAGUGUAUAUGUCUUUUAACCCAUUUGUUUAACGUCUUUCUUUAUGGAAGAGAGAUAUUUUAUAUUGUAUGAAAUCACUAAACUGAUCAACCAACACAAUAGAAGCACCUGUUUAUUUUAUUAUUGUUAUUGUUUACUUUAUACUCAAAAACAUUACUAACCCUCAAAAUCUCAAGAACUUAUUUUGACUUUAAAGGUUUAUUCAUUCAAAUAAUUUAUCAUUAUAGAAUGUGUUUGGUUAGGGUGACCAACCGUCCUCUUUUCCCCGGACUUGUCCACUUUUCACGUUCUGUCCGGGGCGUCCGGGGGGAUUUUCGAGAUUGAUAAAAAUGUCCGGGUUUCCUAGGCCUACAGAGGACCCGUGUGUGACGUCAUCCCCGAGCUGCUGCUUUGUGAGCGCUUGUUCUGCCCUCACAGACAGGACAGACAGCGCGUAGCAACACGCCUAAUGAUGUUUAAAAGAUCCCAAAGCGCAACUCCUUUUUUUGCACUUGUUGACUUGUAAAAGCCUAUAUGACAUUUUUUAUUUCACAAUUCAUUAACAGCACAGAGAAGGCAUCAUGUUAAAUAUGUUAAAUAUGUUUCUUUAAGCAAGUUCUUCAUGACUGAGCCAAGUGUCCUCUUUUUUGGAAAUCAAAAUAUGUCACCCUAUGUUUGGUCUAUACCUGAAUAUACCAAACAAAUAAAUUUCAUUUGACCAGAUUACAUUAAAUUUAAUAUUUUAAAUUUUAUUUGUGCAAGAAAAUUACACGCAAAAGUUACAUAUAUUUAAAUUAAUCAAAGUCAGCAUCUCAGGCACAUGUUGUUUGUUUUUACACGUUUGUAUGUAUUUAUGUUAAGUCACGUGUCAGACAGCUUCACUUUUCUUUCUCAGGUUCAGGAUGAUGACAAAGAUGAUGCAUACAGCACUGUGAAGGCUCCUUCCUCUUCUGCUGCAGCCACUGCUCAUCCCAGCAACAUCUACUCUACUGUCAGUUUUCCAGCCAUAUAGUUCAAAUAUUAUACAAAAAGGAUUUCAAAGACUAUUUUUGUUUUGAUUUCUCAUGGAGAAAUUUGUUAGCAAUAUGCUAAAUGGCUUAAAAUAUUCCUGUUAGAUUGCCUAAAUGUGACACAGAGAUGUGCAACAGACUGUUUAACUUAAUAUGUCUAAAAAAGAAACACCUGUUACUGUGAGAGUGCCGGCUGUAUUAUUGUCCUAUAGAAGAAUGCUGUUUUCUUUUGUCUAUAAAUAUAUCAAAAAUGUAUUUUUGCAUUUUUGUAAUAAAAAUAUAGUUGAUGCCUGGUUUAUUUUCACAAGGUUAUGAAGUGAAGACAAGACUGGGUGGAUGAAAAACAUACAGCUAUUACACCAGAUACAAGGCAGUUUCUCAAUAUAAACUUUGUCUCUCAGUACAUGGUAAACUUUUGCUGUAUGAAACCAGACCAGUGUCUUUCUAUCUAACCACAAAAACUUUAUAUAGACAUUAAUGUUGUUAGUAAUCAGAAACAUAUGGUGGUUAAAAUUUCAUUACAAAUCUGUUUGUUGUUUCAGUUUAAGCCAGUAAAAUAAACUGAGGAAAGAUGGCAGCUGGCCUGCAGCGUUCAGCGUCAUCAUCCUCUGGGUUUAUGUUGUAUUUGAGGUUUGGAUUCCUGUUUUGAUGUCUUUAGCAUUCUGGUGAUGCUGAGCUUUAAUUUUGUUUUAUUAUUUGAGUUUUUGAGUUCUGGUUGGUGUUUAGUUUUUAUUGAGUUUUGGUGCCUAUUUGGAGUAUUUUUUUGUGUGUUUUUACUUCAUGUCCCAUUUACGUACUUGUACCCUUUCUCUUAUCAUGUUUUGUGGGAUUUCUAGUUUUAGUUGUCUUUCCUGUUUUCCUUUGAAGGUGACUUUAAUUCUCUGUGUUAAUUGCUUCUUUCUGCUGGGAUCUUCUGCUCUGCCCUAAAUGUUUUCACCUGUGUGUAAUUACAUUCAUCCCCUCCGAAUCAUCAUCAUUCAUCAGUUAUAGUCCUGUCUUCGUUUUCUCUUUGUCUCUGGCCAGCUGUCUCUCACUUGUUAUCUAAGCCUUAGUGGUUUCCCUGUAGUUUGGAUGUUGGUUUGUGACUAUUUGUCUUUUUUUGGACUUAUUGAACAUAUUCAGCCAAAUACAAAAGCUCACUUUGGUUUACUUCUGUAUUUGGGUCCUAAAACCAACUAAUCC